UCUGGAAUGCUGAGAAAUUCUGCUUCCACCCCCCAGCAGUUGCCAUGGUGAUGAAAACCUGGACCCAGUGGAAAGUUCUCUGUGCUCUUGGCAACGAGGCUGCAGCACCCUGCCUCCCCCUGCCUGCCUGUGCGUGGGCGGCCAGCUCCGGCUGCUGCCAGGAUUUGGGGCCAGCACGGCCUCUCUGCAAGACCCAGCCCUGCCCCCAAAGAAUCUAGGAUGGGAGCUUUGAUAUGUCCUGUACCCAGGGCCCUCAGAGAUUAUCUAGCCUGUCCCAUUUUAUGGAUGAGACAUUGGGCCAGAGAGGACCGGUGGCUUGUCCAAAGCCACAUGGACCCCCCCCUGGGGUCUCCCUCCUGGGCUCAGCUGUGAGUCAGGUGGGCACAGAGCACCUGGGGACAUCGCAGACAGGGGAAUAGCCACAUGGCAGGCCAGUCCCAGAAAGCAGGCCAGCUGCUGGAACCAGGGGGGUGCAGAAGACAAGGGACUCCAGGAGGCUGGACACUGCCUUCCUCUUCUCUCCCAGACACAGUGCAGGCUGAAUUUUGGUCCUGAAGUUUGCUUCCAGCAGAGGCCAACUGCCUCCCUUCAAUGCUGCAUGUGAGGAUACAGCAAGAAGACAGUUGUCUGUGAACCAGGAAACAGGCCCUCCUCAGACACCAGAGCUGUAGCACCUUGGAUUUUCCAGCCUCCAGAAUUUCUGUUGUUUAUAGACCACUCAGUUUACAAUAUUUUACUACAGCAAUCUGGAUAGACUAAGAUACCAUGUUUUCGAAACCUCUCUUUCUCUGUCUCUUCUUGAGUGAGGGUCUCACUCUGCUGCUCAGGCUGGAGUGUAGUGGCCCGAUCAUGGCUCACUGCAGCCACAACCUGCACACAAGGGAUCUUCCAGUCUCAGCCUCCCAAGUAGCUGGGAUCACAGGUGCACACCACCACAACUGGCUAAUUUUUGCAUAUUUUUGUAGAGAUGGGGCUUUGCCAUGUUGCCCAGGCUUGUCUUGAACUCUUGGGUUCAAGUGAUCCACCUGCCUUGGCCUCCCAGAGUGCUUGGAUUAUAGGUGUGAGUCACCACCCCUGGCUGUCUCUUAAGCAAACAGGUUUAUUAAGUAACAACACACACAGUGGCCCAUUUUUGAUCAUCAAAGGCCCAUAGAAUCCAGGCUUUGUCUGCCCCAGAGACACGGGACUCUUCAGGUCCUUAUAUGGUCAUGUGAUGGAUAUGUGGGACAGUUCCAUAAGCUGAACACUGUCACUAGUGCAGGGCCUACUGUCCACAUCCCUCAGAACCCUGCAGGUGAAGAUUCCCAAGACGACAGCAGUGGAAUUUCCUGCAGGUCCCACAGGCCCACAUUGGGAUGAGAUGUGGGUCAUCUCAGGAGCUCUGGCCAUGGACCAGACUGAAGCCAGGAUAGGCCAUAUGAUGCCUACCACAAACUUCCCAUGAGACUCAACUGUUCAGACAUUUUGGGAGUGUGAAAGGUCCUUGUGGUUCUUGCCAAGAAUCCAGUUCUUGGAAAGAAGGUGCCUCCUAUCCUGUUUCUGAUGAUAAAACUUGGACAAUGAAACUACUCACUGGGUGCCAAGGGCUUUCCCUGGUGCCAUCUCAGUGGCUCCAGGAGCUAUGUCCCCCAAAAUAGAGACUAAACUCAUGGGUUCUAAUUUUCCAUGGAAUACUGAAGUUGAGACAUUUCCCUAGAGGUGUCUUCAUUACACAGGAGCAUGAAUUUGACCUGGAGAUGGGAAAUGAUGGCACAGGCAGGGGAUAGCUACAAUGUCCAGAGCCAAGUUCCAUCUCUGUAAUCAGAGAAGAAGAAUCACAUCACUCCCUGAGCCUCAGUCUCCAAAUCUGUAAAAUGGAGCUGAGAUUAUCAGCCACUAUAAUUCCUCUACCAGGUCAUAUAUUCCUUUGGGGAAGGACUGUGAUCUUGUUCUCGUCUGUGUUUCUAACACAGAGGCUGCCAAAGGAGUCCUGGCCGAAUCAAAGGGUAGGCACAAAUUGUGAGAGCAUUCCUUUCCCCAGACCAUCCACCACACAUUCAUUUCAUUCAUGAAAUCAUUUUUCUGCUUAACCAAAAUUUUAUGUCAUUAUCUAUAUGCUGGGGACACAACAGUGAGGGAAAUAGACUGGAAGCUUACAAUUGAUUGAUGGGACCCAACAGCUGGUCACUGCACACUGGAAUGUGAGAUAUAUAGGAUGCUGCCUGGACACAAAGGAGACCUACCUCAGUUCUGCAGAGCCCAAGAAGACUUUCCCGAGAAGCUGACAACUCAGCUAAGAUCUCAAAGAUAAGAAGGUUUAAUGUAAGCCAGAAAAGCAGGUUUAGAGUUCCAAGCAGUGGACAAAUAAAAGUGUAACAUGGAAAAGGAGGGAGAGGAGCCUCUUGGACCACACAAUCCCCCCUCUCCUGCCAACUACUUCCCAAAGAAACCACCUCAUUCAUUCACCCUGAGCAGUGGCUACUGAAGUUCAGGACCAUGGAGAGCACCACAAUGAUCUUCCAGCCACCAUUUUGCUCUUGCUAAUCCUGAAAGGCCCUGCUCGGAUUAAGGCCUAAGGAGACAAAUGACAGGGUUCUGGGGGUGCGGAAACCACCAGGCUUGGAGCCAAGGAGGGAGAGUCCGGGGACCAGAUGAGUUUGGGGAAUCAACUGUCAGCUCUCUAUCCAGAUGAACUCUGUAGUCACAGAGCCAAGGGGAGCCUGGUGAGUCACACUUAGGCCUGGGAGCCCAGGAACCCUGCUGCGCACAAAGAAAACAGUGGGAUGAUGGAGACAAGUGGUUCUCUAUUGUCUCUGUUACCCAGGCUGGAGUGCAGUGCUGUGAACAUGGUUCACUGCAGCUUCGACCUCCCAGGCUACAGUGAUCCCUCUGCCUCAGCCUCUCAAGUAUCUGGGACUAUAGCCAUGCACUACCACACCUGGCUAGUUUUUGUAUCUUUUGUAGAGACAGGGUUUUGCCAUGUUGGUCAGACUGGUCUGGAACUCCUGGGCUCAAGCGAUCUGCCCACCUCGGCCUCCCAAAGUGCUGGGAUCCAGCAGCCCAGAGAACAGGCCCAGGGCAUGAGCCGCUGCAGUGGGAUCUGUGGUAGGGCUCCUUGUCUCUCAUCCCUCACCAAAAAGAGUCCUGAUCCCACCCUGCCCAGAGUACAGCUGGGGCCUCCAGACAGACCCCAAUCCAGCCAGAUGAAGGCUGCUGUCAAAGAAGGGAAAGGACAGGUUGGGGGAAAAGCAGAAAGAAUGUCCCCCAAUCCAAACUCCUGGACCCCCUCCAUGAGAGAGAGGUUCCUGCUGGAAGAGAAGUGCUCACCCCAGGCCCAGUGCACCAAGACCACCAGCAGA